rnacentral:misc_RNA from 1 species
GAUGAAGAACGUAGCGAAAUGCGAUAAGUAAUGUGAAUUGCAGAAUUCAGUGAAUCAUCGAAUCUUUGAACGCACAUUGCGCCCGCCAGCAUUCUGGCGGGCAUGCCUGUUCGAGCGUCAUUUCAACCCUCGCAGCCCAUCUGGGCAGCGGUGUUGGGGACCGACACCACCGGCGAAGCCCUUAGGGGCCCAGCCGGCGCCGCCCCCGAAAUACAGUGGCGGUCUCGCUGCAGCCUCCCUUGCGUAGUAGCACACCUCGCACCGGAGCGCAGCGCGGCCACGCCGUAAAACCCCCGACUUUCUGAGUUUGACCUCGAAUCAGGUAGGAAUACCCGCUGAACUUAAGCAUAUCAAUAAGCGGAGGA